rnacentral:tRNA from 1 species
UAAUUUAAAAUACUAGCUUUGGGAGCUAGUGAUGGGAGUUAAAAUCUCCU